rnacentral:piRNA from 1 species
GGGAAUGUUCCUUCUGUUUCUGUUUGUGU